ACACUCUAUCCUCCUGCCUGGACCAGCUCGCACCUCUCAAAACAAAAACGGUUUCAUUCAGACACUCUGCCCCCUGGUUUACCUCAGAACUACACAAAAUGAAAUCCCACAAACGACAACUGGAACGUCUAUACCGCAAAACCGGCCUCACCGUCCAUCUCCAAGCCUACACCGACCACCUCCACCUUUUACUCCAACCUCAUCCACUCCGGCUCCAGUAACCAAAAUCACCUUCACCCCGGAAAAGUGCAACACAUUCCUCUCCUCUUUUCAAUCCAAAAUCAACACAAUCUACAACUCCCUUCCCCCACCCUCCAUUCCCCGCUCCUCCCCUCAUCCCAUCAGCACUCUCCUGCUUCUCACCUGUUUCCUCAACCGAUGUGACCAAUAUCAUCUGGUCCAUGUCAUCAUCCACCUGCAUCCUGGAUCCCAUCCCAUCCUCCCUCAUCAAGCACUGCCUCCCCAUCAUCUCCCCCAUCAUCACACAGAUCAUCAACUCCUCCCUCAACUCCGCCACUGUUCCCCCUUCACUCAAACUGGCCGCUGUCACCCCCAUCCUCAAAAAACCCGGACUCAACCCCGACAACAUCAAUAACUUCCGGCCCAUCUCCAACCUCCCUUUCCUGUCAAAAAUCCUCGAACGUGUCAUUGCAUCACAAAUCAAAACCCACCUCAACAAUAACAACCUUUACAAACCGUUUCAAUCAGGAUUCCGCACCCACCACAGCACCGAAACUGCCCUCAUCAAAGUCACAAACGACCUCCUCAUUUCUGCUGACUCCGGCCAACUCUCCAUCCUCAUCCUCCUCGACCUCUCCGCUGCUUUCGACACCAUCGACCACGCCAUCCUCCUGUCCCGCCUACACUCCCUCCUCAAUAUCACAAACACCGCUCUUAACUGGAUCCACUCUUACCUCACAGACCGGAAUCACUUCAUCCACAUUAACAACUGCUCCUCCACAACUGCCCCCGUGUCCCAAGGUGUCACCCAGGGCUCGGUGCUUGGUCCCCUCCUCUUCAUCAUCUACCUCCUCCCUCUUGGCCACAUCCUCCGUCAACACAACCUCCACUUCCACUGCUACGCUGAUGACAUUCAAUUAUAUAUCUCUUCCAACUCCAUCACCCCCCAGACCCAACACUCCCUCUCAAACUGCCUCUCUGAUAUUAAACACUGGAUGGACAGCAAUCUUCUCAAACUCAACUAUGACAAAACAGAUCUCAUCGUCAUCAGCCCAAACUCCCUCACCUCCACAGUCACAGACUUUCAUCUCUCCAUUAACAACUCCACCCUCUCCCCCUCCCCCCACUGUCGCAACCUUGGUAUUCUCUUUGACAGCAACCUCACCUUCACACAGCAUGUAAAGCAAAUCACCAAAACAGCAUACUACCACCUCAAAAACAUUUCACGCCUCCGCCCCUCCCUCUCCUACCCUGCAGCUGAAACCCUCAUACAUGCAUUCAUCUCAUCUCAUCUAGAUUACUGUAACACUCUCCUCCAUGGCACUACCUCCACUCUCCUCAAUAAACUUCAGCUUAUCCAGAACUCAGCCGCCCGCCUCCUCACCCACACACGCUCCCACCAACACAUCACCCCCGUCCUCCAAAACCUUCACUGGCUCCCCAUCCCCCAUCGCAUUCAAUACAAAAUCCUCCUUCUCACCCACAAAGCACUCCACAACCUGGCCCCCCCCCCCACCUACAGGAUCUUCUCCACCCCUACACCCCCUCCCGCACCCUCCGCUCCGCCAAUGCCAACCUCCUCAUAGUUCCCCUGACCAAGCACCGAACCUGGGGGGACAGAGCCUUCUCAGUCGCCGCCCCCACCCUCUGGAACUCACUCCCACUCGAACUUAGAAACUGCACUGACCUCACCAGAUUCAAGACCCUUCUCAAAACCCACCUCUUCCGCACUGCCUUUCAUCCUCCUUAGCCUCCUUACACGUUUUUAUUGAUAUUGUUGUAAAUUUUAUUGCUUAUCGAUGUGUGUUUUAUUGUUAUUGCUUAACACAUGUACAGCGUCUUUGUGUUUUUGAAAAACGCUCGCUUUACAAAUAAAAUGUAUUAUUAUGAUUAUUAGGGCCCGAGCGUAGCUGCUAAGCAGCUGCGAGAGCCCUAUUAUUCCCCAAGUGGUUUUUAGGGCCCGAGCGUAGCUGCUAAGCAGCUGCGAGAGCCCUCUUGUUCCUGAUGGAUUCUUCUUUAGGGCCCGAGCGUAGCUGCUAAGCAGCUGCGAGAGCCCUCUUGUUCCUGUAGUUUCCUUCUUUUGUUAUUAUUAUUAUUAGGGCCCGAGCGUAGCUGCUAAGCAGCUGCGAGAGCCCUCUUGUUCCUGAUGGAUUCUUCUUUCGUUAUUUUUCCUCCGCUUUAAACUGGAAAAUGGCCCACUUCCCACUGGCGAAAACUCAGGAAAUUUGGCAGGACGACCGGGCCUGGUGAAAAAUUUGAUAUUCUGAAGUCGCCCAAACAAAAAAAUGAAAAAUGGCUGCAUAGCGCCCCCUAUGGUGAAAACUCACCUGACGCCUGUACACUUUGUCAAAAUGACACAAAAUUUGACACACAUGUGUAUCUCAAUAAGAUCUACAAAAAAGUCAGUGCGGGCGUAUCUGUCAAAUGUACCGUUAAAGGGCUAUUUCGCAUUUUUUGCCGAUCCGCACACAUUGGAAUUUCGCUAACUCCUCCGAAGGCUUUCGUUCCACCGGCACCACAUUUGCUCAGGCCAAUCUACACCCCAUGGCCAUUAAAAGUUGUACAAAUCAUGACGCUGCAACCCACGGUGAAGGUUCUAGGGGGCGCCAAAGAUAACCCAAAAAUCCACAUUCUUAAAAGUCUUAUAACUUUUUAUUUUUGUCCUCACUGGCCUCCAAGUUUUCUAGGAUGAUGCCAUGUCAAGCCAUCAACACAUUUGUGAAGGAAUUUUUACUCCCCAAAAGAGCGCCCCCCCAUGGCAGGAGAAAAAAGUCAAGUUUUUCUUGUCCCCUAACAUGAAAAUACACAUUGUUGAGUGUCACGCCUAAACGCUUUGUCAUAUUGACAAAACAUUUGACAAUCACGUGUAUCUCAAUAAGAUCUACAAAAAAGUCAUAGAGCGCGUAUCUGUAUAAUGUACGGUUAAAGGGCUAUUUUGCAUUUUUUGCCGAUCCGCACACAUUGGAAUUUCGCUAACUCCUCCGAAGGCUUUCGUUCCACCGGCACCAAAUUUGCUCAGGCCAAUCUACACCCCAUGGCCAUUAAAAGUUGUACAAAUCAUGACGCUGCAACCCACGGUGAAGGUUCUAGGGGGCGCCAAAGAUAACCCAAAAAUCCACAUUCUUAAAAGUCUUAUAACUUUUUAUUUUUGUCCUCACUGGCCUCCAAGUUUUCUAGGAUAAUGCAAUGUCCAGCCAUCAACACAUUUGUGAAGGAAAUUUUACUCCCCAAAAGAGCGCCCCCCAUGGCAGGAGAAAAAAGUCUAUUUUUUCUUGUCCCCUAAGGUGAAAAUACACAUUGUUUAGUGUCACGCCUGUACGCUUUGGCAAAAUGACACAAAUAUUAACACACACAUGUAUCUCAAUAAGAUCUACGAAAAAGUCAAUGCGCGCAUAUCUGUCAAAUGUACGGUUAAAGGGUUAUUCCGCAUUUUUUGCCGAUCCGCACACAUUGGAAUGUGGCUAACUCCUCCUAAGGCUUUCGUUCCACUGGCACCACAUUUGCUCAGGCCAAUCUACACCCCAUGGCCAUUAAAAGUUAUUCAAAUCAUGACGCUGCACCCCACGGUUUAGGUUCUAGGGGGCGCCAAAGAUAACCGUAAAAUCCACAUAUUUAAAAGUCUUAUAACUUCUUAUUUUUGUCCUCACUGGCCUCCAGGUUUUCUAGGAUG